GAACAGAAUUCAUGCCCUUCAGACCUACCAUGAUCAGGAAAGGUUCCCUGAUAUAGACUCGGGUAUGUUAUGAGUCCUUCAUCUUUAUGAUAUGAAUUGUUAGAUCCUUUGCUCCUAUUUUGAGCUUAUAUGUCAGCAUGAGUCAUGCAUUAGUUUAGAUCUCAAUCGGUCAAUCAUGACCGAGUUGGUAGGUGCCCCGUGCACUGCCCUAGUAUUUUAGUAAAG
rnacentral:lncRNA from 1 species